UAGGCUGGCUUCCAUUCACCGCCCGCUACGGUGGAAGCGAGAAACGUUGUGGGCUGGCUGAGUGAGGCUUUGUUUGUUGAGCCAAGCUCAGUGAGAUCAAUCAAUAGACUACACACGUAGAGGCUUCAGCCGAGGCGUCACAGGACGCGGGUUCGAUUCCCGCCGCCUCCACUA
rnacentral:tmRNA from 1 species